rnacentral:rRNA from 1 species
UACGAAGGGGGCUAGCGUUGCUCGGAAUCACUGGGCGUAAAGCGCGUGUAGGCGGCCUGCUAAGUCUGAUGUGAAAGCCCGAGGCUCACCCUCGGAAGCGCAUUGGAAACUGGCAGACUGGAGUCCCGGAGAGGAGGGUGGAAUUCCUGGUGUAGCGGUGAAAUGCGUAGAUAUCAGGAGGAACACCGGUGGCGAAGGCGGCCCUCUGGACGGUGACUGACGCUGAGACGCGAAAGCGUGGGGAGCAAACAGG